rnacentral:pre_miRNA from 1 species
AGUGGGAUAGCUGGGUCAUGUGGUGGUACCAUUCCAAAUUUUCUGAGGAAUCUUCAUACUGCCUUCCCAAGUGGUCGAACCAAUUUGCAGUCCCACCAGCAAU